rnacentral:rRNA from 1 species
UGGAGUCCGGAGUCCGCGUCCGCGGGGGCCGAAGGGACUAGAGUAGGGGCAAGGCCUUCCGAGCUGGAGGAGACCGCCGCGGCGGCCUUGGAGGUGGCGGAGACGGGGGAGGGUGGGGGGUGGUUUCGUGGCGGGAAGGAAGGGGAGGGGAGGGGAGGUGGCCUAGGUAUAGUCUGCGCGAAGAAAGGAAAGUACCCGUUAGUUUGGGAUCGGAUGAGCCUAAACAGAAGCGAAAUAAUCCCAAUCCGUGGAGGACGAGGCCACGAGGGGGGAGGGGUAGUGGCGGUGUUCGGCAGGCAGCGGGCAGGUGCAGGUCGCCGCCUCGCGCUCGCGGUACAGGCACCGCCGCCCCCAGUCGCUACGCCGGUAGCGCCACGCGCUGUUCGAGGCCCCGUUCUAGCCGGUCUGGUUCCACUUCGCGAUGACCGGGCCCUUCUUCGGGCUCACCCGGCUACUCCGGCUCCUGCUGUAGCUGGAGGCCCGCCGGUCCCAGAGGGAGCUGCUCCGGAAGGGGUUCCGGCUCCUUCCCCUGGCCCUGGCCCUGGCCGGGGGGUUCCUGCUGGCCGCCGAGGCCGCCGAGCGCCUCUGCGCGCGCCUCUUGUUCCUCCUCGAGGCCCGGCUGGUGGCGGCGUAGGCCGUCCGACUCUAGCACAGGUGGCGACUCCUCCUCGCCCUGUCCGUUCUCCGGGUCCACCUCCUCCUCCUGCUGCUCCUGCGCGUCCUCCUCGCCGCCGCCUCCUAGUUCCUCGCCGUCGCGGAGUCCCGCGUCCUCCUCCUCCUCGACGAGGGCGUCCUCCUCCUCGGCGAGCUCCUACUGCACGUCCUCAGCCUCCUCAGGCUCAUGCUCUGGCUGAGCCUCCUACUCGUCUACCCGUACCGGUACCACUUCGGGCAGAAGUAGGGGUUCCGCGUCGCCCUGUGGUAGCGGCUCGCGCUCGCCGACCUCCUCCUCCUCGCCGUCCACCUCCUCUGGUAGUCCUUCUCCGAGCUCCGAUCCUUCUAGCUCUGGUCCGUCUAACACCACCUCCUCUAAUCCUUCCUACUCGUGUAAGUCUUCCGCGAGUUGCUCCUACGAUCGCAGCUCCUACAGCUGUGCCUACUACUCGUCUUGCUUCGACUCCUCAUGCUCAGUACCUUCUUAGCACUCUACCGCGCCUAAUUCUCCCUGUCCCUCCUUUCCAUACGUGCCAACUUCCUCUUCCUUCUCUAACUGUUCCACUCCUUAUACUGACUCCUCCUCGCGGCCCUUACCCUCUUCUUCUUGGGGUUUGGAAGAGAGGUCUUCAGGUUUGUCUUCACCUUGAAAUACGUCUUCAUGAUGGUGUUCCCACGGAAGAAGGUCCUUCCGCCACUACUGCACUCGGUCAGUCGACCAUCUCUACGAUAUAUGUGGGCACUAAAGAGACGCGGGUGGCCACUUCUAUUCUACCUGUUCUCGUAGAACGGAUUCCAGUACGUUCAGUUCGUAAAGCCCGCCUCACCGUCUUGUUUCACCUGUGUAGAACAAUUACUCCUGUGAUGGCUGACCCUACGUGGUACCCGAUGUUUGCCCGGCGACGCUUGUUUUAUAUUACGUUUUUACCGCCCGUACUUACGUGGAUAACGAUUUGGUUUCCCUUCAUUCUUCUACUUCCUAACCCUAUGCUUUGCUCUACUAAUUUACAAACAACGACCGACACACUGGACCAUGUGACGACUUGUACCACUAAUACGUCUACAAAAAGAAGAAAUACAGCCAGCGUAUACUGUGUACACGGUAGUAAACCGACGGGUUUAGGAGGGGCUGAUGGGGCUUCGGGCCCGUCUGGGAGGACUUGACCUGACGACCGGGCCACCCACUUGAUUUCGGAACUUUGUCAUCUCUUCUCCACUUGACGACAAUAUUCAUUGCGGUAGCGGGUAGAGUAGACCCUCGGACAGACCAUUAAACUAACCUCUAAACUUCAUUGUUAGGUCCUGUACUGAACAGUUGAACUAUUUGGUGUGUCGAAACCAGAGAAACGACCGAACCUUUACAAACCACCUACUACUGUACUACACCGUCACCAAAACGUGUGCAUCACAGUGGUUGGUCCUAUAAACACCUUCUUCGUCUAUUAUCCUCUCCCUUCUCCUUAUUCUUACGAACAAUUUAGUACUAUUCGUAAGAUCUACCCUUGCUUAUUCUUACCACAAAUUAGUACUAUCAAUGAGAACUGUUCUCUGUUCUCAUACCCCUACAGUCUCUUAACUUUUUUAUUGUUAUUGCGUUGGUCCUGUUCACAAACAUUGUACAGAGAAAAAACAGAUUUACUUACAAGUCACAAAAACCUAAA